AAUACGUUCCCGGGCCUUGUACACACCGCCCGUCACACCACGAAAGUCGGCAACACCCGAAGCCGGUGGCCUAACCCUUUUGGGAGGGAGCCGUCGAAGGUGGGGUUGGUGAUUGGGGUGAAGUCGUAAACAAGGUACC
rnacentral:rRNA from 1 species